rnacentral:rRNA from 1 species
UGGUGGAGUGAUUUGUCUGCUUAAUUGCGUUAACGAACGAGACCUUAACCUGCUAAAUAGAUAUGCCAACUUUUGUUGGUAGUCAACUUCUUAGAGGGACUGUCGGCGACUAGCCGACGGAAGUUUGAGGCAAUAACA